rnacentral:rRNA from 1 species
GAUGAACGCUGGCGGCGUGCCUAAUACAUGCAAGUCGAGCGAACAGACGAGGAGCUUACUCCUCUGACGUUAGCGGCGGACGGGUGAGUAACACGUGGAUAACCUACCUAUAAGACUGGGAUAACUUCGGGAAACCGGAGCUAAUACCGGAUAACAUGUUGAACCGCAUGGUUCAACAGUGAAAGACGGUCUUGCUGUCACUUAUAGAUGGAUCCGCGUCGCAUUAGCUAGUUGGUAAGGUAACGGCUUACCAAGGCAACGAUGCGUAGCCGACCUGAGAGGGUGAUCGGCCACACCGGAACUGAGACACGGUCCAGACUCCUACGGGAGGCAGCAGUAGGGAAUCUUCCGCAAAGGGCGAAAGCCUGACGGAGCAACGCCGCGUGAGUGAAGAAGGUCUUCGGAUCGUAAAACUCUGUUAUUAGGGAAGAACAAAUGUGUAAGUAACUAUGCACGUCUUGACGGUACCUAAUCAGAAAGCCACGGCUAACUACGUG